rnacentral:lncRNA from 1 species
AUAAAGGUUAAUUUGUUCUUGAGAAAUUGACAAAAGAUUUGGUCAAACGUAAAUGAAUAUGCAAUAAGUCACAUAAGUCUGUGUGUAUAUACAUAUAUGACUUUAAUUUUAUAAGUGCAUGUGUAUACGCACACCUUUAGCUCAUUUAAAUAAAAAGCUAUCCAAUGUUUUAUGUCCAUUAUGUCCCCCGUUAACAGUGAUUUCAUAACAAUACUACUUACUCCAAUUAACAAAAUAUUUCUUUAUAAAAAAUAUGUUCAAAAGGAGGUUUACAUUCACUUCUUCGUUUAAUAUCAAGGUUGUUAACAAUGGUCUUAGGAGAUGCAAAGACGAAAAACUACUUACCUUAAAAAUCUGUAUUCUUGAAGAUAUAUACUCCACUUGAAUAAGAUACUGCUCAAGGUUUAGGCUUCCUGGAGAACUCAGAGGAUUUUGUAGUUGUACUUAAUAUACUCAAUAGCCAAAUUUCCUAAACUUUCAUAAUUUUGCUAACCAAGGGCCCUUAACAAAGUUAAAAGACACCACAGGGUUCAAAAGUGAACAAAUAUGUUGUUUUUGUUUUAAGACGGAGUCUCAUUCUUGUCACCUAGGCUGGAGUGCAGUGGCGCAAUCUCUGCUCACUGCAACCUCCAUCUCCCGGGUUUAAGUGAUUCUCACACCUCAGCCUUCCGAGUAGCUGGGAUUACAGGCGCGCGCCACCAAGCCCAGCUAAUUUUUACAUUUUUAGUAGAAAUGGGGUUUCACCAUGUUGGCCACGCUGGUCUCAAACUCCUGACCUCAAGAGAUCCGCCCGCCUCGGCCUCCCAAAGUGCUGGGAUUACAGGCAUGCGCCACUGUGCCUGGUCACAAAUAUGUUAAUGAGCCAAUUAAGAUGGUGCUGCUCAAAUGAUUCUAAUUCAGGAAACUUAGGUUGCAGCUAGGUAAUCUCUAGUUCUCUAAAGAAUAAUACCCAAAUGACAGGAUUUAUGUGUUGAUGCAAUAAUAGCUCAGUCUGUUUCAUGACCUAGCUAGAGUCAGAAUUGGAGCGGUGGCUAUAGCACAGGGGUGGCUUUCUCCUCUCUGAAGGAAAAGUAAAGAAGUAAGAAGAAAGAGGUUGAAAGAACAGCCUACACAGUUGUUGCCCAGAUCUCAAAAUUAGCAACAAGUAUGUCAGCUGUCCUAAUUAUUACCAAACAGGUCCUGGGAGUGUCUGACACACAACAUAAUAUAGGUGCAAUCAGUUCCAGAAUCUGGUUCCUGGAUCUGAACUAAUUUAGCUAUAAGACCUUCAGCAAGACCAUCUCUAUGGCCUGCAUCUCUCUCCUAUAGGUUUGACAAAGAUUCACCUAUGAGUUUGAUGAAGACAGGCUAGGUAUGGCCCUCAAUAAGAAUUUAUUCUGACUGGGAGAUUUAAAACUGUAAAUGCUUGCCGGGCGUGGUGGCUCACAUGAAAUACUGUGAAGGUACAGAGUAAUGCUAUAUGGCACAAAG